AUGAACGCUAGCGACAGGCCUAACACAUGCAAGUCGAGGGGCAGCACAAGGUAGCAAUACUUGGGUGGCGACCGGCGGACGGGUGAGUAACACGUAUGCAACCUGCCCGUAAUCGGGGGAUAACCCGGAGAAAUUCGGACUAAAACUCCAUGAAUCUGAGAUAUCGCAUGAUAAAACAGAAAAACGCAAGGAUUACGGAUUGGCUCGCGUGACAUUAGCUAGAUGGUGAGGUAACGGCUCACCAUGGCAAUGAUGUCUAGGGGUUCUGAGAGGAAGGCCCCCCACACUGGGACUGAGACACGGCCCAGACUCCUACGGGAGGCAGCAGUGAGGAAUAUUGGACAAUGGAUGGAAAUCUGAUCCAGCCAUGCCGCGUGCAGGAAGACAGCCCUAUGGGUUGUAAACUGCUUUUAUAUGGGAGCAAUAAGGUCUACGUGUAGACUGAUGAGAGUACCAUAUGAAUAAGCAUCGGCUAACUCCGUGCCAGCAGCCGCGGUAAUACGGAGGAUGCGAGCGUUAUCCGGAUUUAUUGGGUUUAAAGGGUGCGUAGGCGGCCGAGUAAGUCAGCGGUGAAAUUUUGCAGCUUNACUGUAACAGUGCCGUUGAUACUGCAUGGCUAGGAUUUGGUUGCUGUGGGUGGAAUGUGUGGUGUAGCGGUGAAAUGCUUAGAUAUCACACAGAAUAUCAAUUGCGAAGGCAGCUCACAAAGCCAAGAUUGACGCUGAGGCACGAAAGUGUGGGGAUCAAACAGGAUUAGAUACCCUGGUAGUCCACACUGUAAACGAUGAUAACUCACUGCCGGCGAUACACAGUCGGUGGCCAAGCGAAAGCGAUAAGUUAUCCACCUGGGGAGUACGACCGCAAGGUUGAAACUCAAAGGAAUUGACGGGGGCCCGCACAAGCGGAGGAACAUGUGGUUUAAUUCGAUGAUACGCGAGGAACCUUACCCGGGCUCGAACGGUGCAUGAAUAAGCAAGAGAUUGUUUAGUCCUUCGGGACAUGUAUCGAGGUGCUGCAUGGUUGUCGUCAGCUCGUGCCGUGAGGUGUCGGCUUAAGUGCCAUAACGAGCGCAACCCUUGUUGUUAGUUACCAACAGGUAAAGCUGGGGACUCUAACGAGACUGCCACCGUAAGGUGCGAGGAAGGGGGGGAUGACGUCAAAUCAGCACGGCCCUUAUGUCCGGGGCGACACACGUGUUACAAUGGGGGGUACAGAGGGCAGCCAUCCGGUGACGGAGCGCCAAUCUCCAAAACCCUUCUCAGUUCGGAUUGGAGUCUGCAACCCGACUCCAUGAAGUUGGAUUCGCUAGUAAUCGCGCAUCAGCCAUGGCGCGGUGAAUACGUUCCCGGGCCU
rnacentral:rRNA from 1 species